AAUUCUACAGAAUGGGAGAAGAUUAAUUUAAGGUCAAGCAGAUCUUUAUCAGUGCCAAGCACUGCUCCCAGCAUUAUCAAGAAGUAAAAAGCCGGCUGAGUGUGAAGGAGAUAAGAAAAUAUAAGCCCAACUGCAACAAAAAAGCAGAAGUUGAGUGUCACAAGAAAGGCACAAAAAGUACUGUGGGUAAUCAAAGAAUAAUGGAUCACAUCUAAUUGGAAGGACGAGGAGAGGCUACCUGGAAGAGGUGAUGUGUGAGACACAACAUAUUUGGGAUCAUCUAUGCAGUACUGCAAAAUGGGAGACUGAAAACAUUCUAAAUAGAUUAAAGUGCUUUGCUUUAGGACCAAUGAGUAGAGAAGGUGGAAAGAAGAAGGACGAGUUUCUAAAGGAGGAGUUUUCUUAUGAUCAAAGGCAUCUGAAAGCGAAAAUGAAGCUAUUAGAAAAUUUAAAAUUACAUAUGUGGCUCACAUUAUCUCUCUAUUGAACUGUGCUGCUCUAGACCCAGGAUGAUGGAGGAAGGAAUUGGACUUCUGCUUUUAAAUGAAAAUAUGUAUGUAAAGCAGCUAAUAUGCAUUCCACUUCUGUCAUAUAAGUGCUCAAUGAAUGUGACUCUCUCGCCCCACCUCAGCCAAAUAAUUCACCUGUUGGGGAUUCCUCUGGGGAGCCAGAAAACCACUUACACAAUGAUUUCUGCAACUGAGCCUGUGAUGGGAGAGAGAGCUGGUGGUGUGGAGGACUGGACACACACUCUUGCGAGCACUGCUGCUGCCUGUCUGUCCCCUCUGGGGCUUGGAGAGGUGGGUGAAGGAGGGGACCAGAAAGAGUCUUGUGCUUAUUUACCGCCUCAAAAAUAAGAAUAAGAGCAAUAGCCCUCACCCCUUCCUUCUUCCCUUUUGCAAUAUUUCUGGCUAUAGUGCAGUUUCACUUAUUUGUUUACACCUAGAAAAAGUGAUUAACUUGGUAAUAUAAACAUUUCUCCUACCAAUUCCCAGCCCUUCUCAAAAAUGAAGUCACUUUAACUGUCAUUCUUAAAAUUCCGUGGCUUCAUCGACCAGAUUCUGGGUUCCUCCUAUUCUGAGAGCCAGGUAUCCUAUGGCAAUGAGUUUAAAGAUGGAAGGAUAUAGUUCCACAUUUUGAAAACAAGACUUUCUGUGUUUUUUAAAAUUUAGAGAAAAAUAGGCAAUGCCUCUUUACAGCAUACAGCGUGGGACCCAGGGGUAUUUUUUGAAUUUCGGUUUGUAGAAUAAACGGGAUGACUGCCAGGGAAAAUGUAAUCUGGGACAUAGUUCUCAGUGCCUCCAUAGUGAACUACUUUGAAACUCCAGGCUGAUACUUGGUAUGAGUUUUAGGGUCUCAAAAGGUAUUUUGAGUCUUCAUGCAUGGGAAGCUUGAUGCUUUGUCUUCAUCUAGUUUCCACUUAAAAAAAAAAUAGUGAACUCUGAGGAUGAGUUAGAGUUUCUCUGUAAUCAAAUAUGAAGAGAGUAUCUUAAAUCAAGAUGUCAAGACUUUGACCAUAGGAUACUAAGUCACCAAAGGGAGGAUCUCCCAGGGUUCUCAAGGAUUAGAAAAUCAUUCCCCUCCAUCUACUUUGCAUGAAACAGGGUGGAGGAUCAGUGUAGAAAGUAUGCAGCUCUUUGGGGGAAUAUGCUACUGUCUUGAAUAGCUAAUCUGAUAAACUGGCAGAAGACCACAGGGAGCUUGUUAUGAAGAAAUUGAGGAAGAAUAAUUGAACUCCGUAGGAAUUAAUUCAUCCAUCAAAUUUCCUUUUAGCUCUAAAGAAAUAUCUUCUUCCUUUGAACACUUAUGCUCCUAUUGUCAAAGCCAUUCACUUGGCAGUGGCACUUGUCUCAUUCUGUUUGUAUCAUGAGUGAAUUUAAUUCAGUAACUAUUUACUGAGCUUCUAUCAUGUGAAGGUUAUAAGCUUUAAAAAAGAAAUAAAAUAAUAUCUAAGCA